rnacentral:rRNA from 1 species
ACGCUCGACACCUACGGGAGGUAGCAGUGGGGAAUAUUGCACAAUGGGGGAAACCCUGAUGCAGCGACGCCGCGUGGAGGAAGAAGGUCUUCGGAUUGUAAACUCCUGUUGUUGGGGAAAAAGAGGAUGGUACCCAACAAGGAAGUGACGGCUAACUACGUGCCAGCAGCCGCGGUAAUCUGAGGCGGGCUGGCAAGGC